AAAGUCGUAACAAGGUUUCCGUAGGUGAACCUGCGGAAGGAUCAUUAUGAUACACUCUUUGCUCACGCGAAGUUUUAAACCCUCUGUGAACCAAAAAACACUUAUAGCUUCGGUAGCAGUGCUUCAGCUAACCCUGCGGCACGUUAGCCUACCGGCAGCACCAAUACAAACUCUUGUUUAAAACACUUGUCUGAACUAAAAUUUUCGAAUGAAAAUCAAAACUUUCAACAACGGAUCUCUUGGUUCUC
rnacentral:misc_RNA from 1 species